rnacentral:rRNA from 1 species
GAAGUCUGCAACCCGACUUCGUGAAGCUGGAUUCGCUAGUAAUCGCGCAUCAGCCACGGCGCGGUGAAUACGUUCCCGGGCCUUGUACACACCGCCCGUCAAGCCAUGGGAGCCGGGGGUACCUGAAGUACGUAACCGCAAGGAGCGUCCUAGGGUAAAACUGGUGACUGGGGCUAAGUCGUAACAAGGUAGC